rnacentral:rRNA from 1 species
ACUGCUCAGUAACACGUGGAUAACCUGCCCUAAGGAAGGGGAUAACCUCGGGAAACUGAGGAUAAUACCCUAUAGGUUACAGAUGCUGGAAUGCCCUGUAACCGAAAGCUCCGGCGCCUUAGGAUGGAUCUGCGGCCGAUUAGGUUGUUGUUGGGGUAACGGCCCAACAAGCCGAUAAUCGGUACGGGUUGUGGGAGCAAGAGCCCGGAGUUGGAUUCUGAGACACGAAUCCAGGCCCUACGGGGCGCAGCAGGCGCGAAAACUUUACAAUGCGGGAAACCGUGAUAAGGGAACCCCGAGUGCCUGUAUAUGCAGGCUGUCCAGGUGUCUAAAAAACACCUGAAGAAAGGGCCGGGCAAGACCGGUGCCAGCCGCCGCGGUAAUACCGGCGGCUCGAGUGGUGGCCACUUUUAUUGGGCUUAAAGCGUUCGUAGCUGGGUUGUUAAGUCUCUUGGGAAAUCUGACGGCUUAACCGUCAGGCGUCUAAGAGAUACUGGCAAUCUUGGAACCGGGAGAGGUGAGGGGUACUUCGGGGGUAGGAGUGAAAUCCUGUAAUCCUCGAGGGACCACCUGUGGCGAAGGCGCCUCACCAGAACGGCUUCGACAGUGAGGGACGAAAGCUGGGGGAGCAAACCGGAUUAGAUACCCGGGUAGUCCCAGCCGUAAACGAUGCGCGUUAGGUGUAUCGGUGACCACGAGUCACCGAGGUGCCGAAGGGAAACUGUGAAACGUGCCGCCUGGGAAGUACGGUCGCAAGGCUGAAACUUAAAGGAAUUGGCGGGGGAGCAC